GGGGUGAGCACAGAAUCCGAGGGAGCAGCGAACUCAGAGGAUCAGCAUCUGGACAUUGACAACUGUGGACCACCUCAGGAAGGAUGACUCCCACAACUACCAGUGUCCCUGAACUCAUCACGGCAGCUUUAUACGGCGGCCAUAACACCUCCGAAAACAUCACUAACAGCACAGAGUGUCCCGACCACGAGGGCUGGGAAUGGCUGGACGCCAGUCAGCCGGUGUACAUCAUGCUCAUCACCGUGCUGGGAAUCGUGCUCAACGUCUUCGUCCUGAUGGUUUUCUUUUUUCACAAGAAACCCUGCACCGUGGCCGAGAUUUACCUGAGCAACCUCGCGGCCGCAGACCUGGUCCUGAUGUGCUGUCUGCCCUUCUGGGCCGUCAACGUGUCCAACGGCUACAACUGGCCCUUUGGUCGCGCCCUGUGCAAAAUGGUCAACAUGGGCAUUAAGCUCAACAUGUUUGGCAGCAUCUACUUCAUCGUUCUAGUCAGCAUAGACCGCUACAUCGCCCUGGUGCAUCCUAUGUCCCACGGCAGGAUGAGGAGGCCUAAGUAUGCCAAACUGGCCUGUUUCCUGAUGUGGUGCCUGGGCUUCAUCCUGAGUAUUCCCACCAUCAUCUACAGGGAGGUGCAGUACUUCUCUGAAUACGACGUCAACGCCUGCUUCUUGGACUACCCGAACGACACGGUGUGGUUGAACUUAGACGGGAUGCUGGUCAUUUUUGGUUUCAUCAUCCCCAUUUCGAUCAUCUCCUUCUGCACCAUCAAAAUCAUCCGGGCGCUGAAAUCCCAGGCAGUGGAGCGUUUCAGCGCAGAGAAGACGGAGCAGAGAGCCACCACCCUGAUACUGGCCGUGCUGCUGGCCUUCCUCAUCUGCUGGGUGCCGUUCCACAUAGUCACCGUCGUGGACCUGCUCCUAAAGGUUGGAUCCCUGAGGUUAUGCUCCCUGUCGGCCGCCCUGGAAAUCUGCAACCAGAUCUUCACCUACCUCGGCCUCUUCAACAGCGCCCUCAACCCUUUACUGUAUGUCAUUGUGGGGAAGAACUUCAGGAAAAAAGCUCGGGAACUCUUCAAGCAGUGGAACAUUAAGAGAAUUGGCACCUUCGAGUCCUCCAGCUCACAACUGUUUCCCACCGUAAAGACCGUCACCUGAGACAUCACUGGCAACUGCAUGAGUCCAGGUGAAAACAGGAAUUUGAAUUAUGAUGUAUUUGCCUGAUUUUUUUUUUAUAAUCACAUCUGCAUGGAAAAAGUAAGAAAAGCACUGAAGACACCUGGGACAGACAUGUUUUAACAACCUUAAAAUACUUUAAAUAUUGGCCUUUUUGCCAAUUCAAACACCCUGUGUGUCAUUAGGAAUUGUCAAGUAAGAAUGUCUACAAGAAAAAUAUUAGAACAUUUGGUCCAAACUCAACAAAGAUUUUCUAGUCAUUCUAGGUCCUGUAUGAAAACAAAAAAGAAAAUGGGAUAAAAACAUCCCUUGUUUUGAAUUACACCUAAACAUCUGGUCCAACAUCAGGUGUGAUGUCCGACUUUGCUGCAACAAAGCAAAACUGGGAGAAGAUUGACAUUAUUUUAAAAUCCUUAAAAUAUCAUUACAUCUGCUGUGCAACAUUAAGGGCAUUAUCUGAUCAUCUCUAAAGAAUAUUUUGCUUAUGUUAAGCUCAGUAUAUUUUAUUUUUAUUCAAUUUUGACCCGUCAAAAAAAAGGUU